AUAAGGAUCCAGAAAAUUCCUGGCAAAGAGAGAGAGCCUUCUGGGAGUGACUAGUCCACCUUCUGUGUUUUAUGAUGAGAUGUCACCCCUGUGAGCAGAGACCCGAAACAACUAGCAACAAGGCCCUCUCUCCUGAAUCUGAGGGUGAAAACAAAAGAAUGUAUCCUUACAUUCAGUAAUCAAGGCCUACGUAUAGAUGAAGGUGUGUGGUUCUUGUGGAAAGGUAGCAGUCAACAACUGAAUGCAUGUGUAUGUGUAUGAAAUGUAUGUGUCACAUACAAGGUGAAAAGCACGGAAGAGGAAACAAAACACAAGAAAUGAUUACAUGUAAAAGCAUUGAUUAUACAGCUAUGUCUUCAUUAAAAACAACUCUAC